rnacentral:lncRNA from 1 species
AGUGCUUUGCUAAUGACUGACCGGUGUGGAUGUAUAAAAGUCCAGCUCCGUGAUCUCAGACUUCCGGCCUCCAGAACUCAGGCCCUGACAUUGUAUAAGCUUCAGGCCCCACAAAACCUGGAUCUGCCCUGCCAGGAUCAGCAUCUAGAGGAAAACUACUACUUCCACAAUAGCACAACCAAUCUGAUCAUCCCUGCAUCAGUGAGCAUUCUCCAGAGAAACAGAGCCAACAGGAUAUGUGUAUAUAUGUGAAGAAAGACUUAUUUUAAGGAGUUGGCUCAUGCAAUUAUGGAGGUGCAAGUCCAAAAUCUGUAGGGCAGGCAGAUGGGCAGACUGGAGACCCAGAGAAGAGUUG